rnacentral:rRNA from 1 species
GAUGAACGCUAGCGAUAGGCUUAACACAUGCAAGUCGAGGGGCAGCAUGGUCUUAGCUUGCUAAGACUGAUGGCGACCGGCGCACGGGUGCGUAACGCGUAUGCAACUUGCCUCACAGAGGGGGAUAACCCGUCGAAAGACGGACUAAUACCGCGUACACUUACAGGAGGGCAUCCUUCAGUAAGGAAAUGAAAUUCGCUGUGAGAUAGGCAUGCGACGCAUUAGCUAGUUGGUGAGGUAACGGCUCACCAAGGCAACGAUGCGUAGGGGAACUGAGAGGGUGGUUGGCACCCCCGCACUGGAACUGAGGCACAGACCAGAAUGGGAGGGAGGAGAAGGGAAAGGAAUAUUGGGGGAGGAACGAUGGCGGAAACACGCCGAGUGGGUGAAGGAAGUAUUGGCUUAUGAAUUGUAAACUUCUUGUGAAGGAGAAUAGAGACAGGAACGUGGCCUGGAGUGAAGGUACCUAACCAGAAAGCAACGGCUAACUCCGUG